rnacentral:rRNA from 1 species
UACGUAGGGGCGAGCGUUGUCCGGAAUCACUGGGCGUAAAGCGCACGUAGGCGGCUUCUUAAGUCAGGGGUGAAAUCCUGGAGCUCAACUCCAGAACUGCCUUUGAUACUGAGUAGCUUGAGUCCGGGAGAGGUGAGUGGAACUGCGAGUGUAGAGGUGAAAUUCGUAGAUAUUCGGCAAGAACACCAGUGGCGAAGGCGGCUCACUGGCCCGAUACUGACGCUGAGGUGCGAA